GACGAACGCUGGCGGCGUGCUUAACACAUGCAAGUCGAACGGUGAAGCGCCUUCCUUUUUGGUGGGUGUGGAUGAGUGGCGAACGGGUGAGUAACACGUGAGUAACCUGCCCCCUUCUUCUGGAUAACCGCAUGAAAGUGUGGCUAAUACGGGAUAUUCUGGGUCUGUCGCAUGAUGGGUCUGGGAAAGAUAUUGUUUCGGUGGGGGAUGGGCUCGCGGCCUAUCAGCUUGUUGGUGGGGUGAUGGCCUACCAAGGCGGUGACGGGUAGCCGGCCUGAGAGGGUGGACGGUCACACUGGGACUGAGACACGGCCCAGACUCCUACGGGAGGCAGCAGUGGGGAAUAUUGCACAAUGGGCCCAAGCCUGAUGCAGCGACGCCGCGUGAGGGAUGGAGGCCUUCGGGUUGUGAACCUCUUUCGCCAGUGAAGCAGGCCUGCCUCGUUUGUGGGUGGGUUGACGGUAGCUGGAGAAGAAGCGCCGGCUAACUACGUG
rnacentral:rRNA from 1 species